rnacentral:rRNA from 1 species
CCCAGACUCCUACGGGAGGCAGCAGUGGGGAAUAUUGGGCAAUGGGCGCAAGCCUGACCCAGCAACGCCGCGUGAAGGAAGAAGGCUUUCGGGUUGUAAACUUCUUUUAAGAGGGAAGAGUAGAAGACGGUACCUCUUGAAUAAGCCACGGCUAACUACGUGCCAGCAGCCGCGGUAAUACGUAGGUGGCAAGCGUUGUCCGGAUUUACUGUGUGUACAGGGCGUGUAGCCGGGUUGACAAGUCAGAUGUGAAAUCCUGCGGCUUAACCGCAGAACUGCAUUUGAAACUGUUGAGCUUGAGUACUGGAGAGGCAGACGGAAUUCCUGGUGGAGCGGUGAAAUGCGUAGAUAUCAGGAGGAACACCGGUGGCGAAGGCGGCCUGCUGGACUGCAACUGACGUUGAGGCCCGAAAGCGUGGGGAGCAAACAGGAUUAGAUACCCCCGUAU